rnacentral:rRNA from 1 species
AUGUUAGCUAUGAAUGUUCCUAAAUAUUUGUGGGCUGAAGCUGUGAUGACAGCGGCUUAUUUGAUGAAUAGAAUGCCAUCCCGGGUGCUCAAUAACAAGACACCGAUGAGUGUCUCACUGGUGAAACUACAUAUGUUGUGCCACCAAAGCAAGACAGGGGGAGAGGAAGGAAUGGAAAGUUAUCCUACUACAUCGAAUGAAAUGGUGGUUGGAGUAAUACCACAUGAAGAAAGUCAUGAAGAUAGGGAUGUGGGUUCUAUAGAAGCAGAACAAGAUACAUUAGAUGAAGCAACACGGUGGCCAAAGCCAAAUGAAGAACAAGAAGUUCGGGUGUAUAGAAGAAGACACCAAACCGAGAGGGAUCGGUGGCCAAAGCCAAAUGAAGAACAAGAAGUUCGGGUGUAUAGAAGAAGACACCAAACCGAGAGGGAUCAAGUGCAGGGGGAGGAGAACAAUCCAUUGGGACAGAAUCUUGAAGUUCAAGGUCAGUCAGACGCACAUGAUUUAAAUUCAAGACCUUCUGAAAGUGAUGGUACACUCUCCUCUCCACACGAUGACUUAGGUAUUCCUAUAGCAUUCAGAAAGCAGCCUCGCACUACUGCCAGAAUGUUGCCUUCGAAAUUAUCCUCCUAUGAUAUCUCUAAUUAUGUGUCAUAUAUAUCUGUUGGCCCCCAGUACAAGUCUUUUUUAGUAUCCUUGGAAUCUGCUGCACGUAUACCAUGUAAUUGGCAGGAAGCUAAACGAGAUCCAAGGUGGAGACAAGCAAUGCUUGAGGAAAUGGCUGCCCUUGAUAAAAACAAUACUUGGAUACUUACAACUCUUCCUGCAAAUAAGAGAGCUGUUGGCUGUAGAUGGGUGUUCACUGUUAAGCAGAAUUCAGAAGGUAAAGUAGAGAGAUAUAAAGCCAGAUUAGUGGCGAAAGGUUACAGUCAAACCUAUGAGAUAGAUUAUGAUGAAACUUUCGCACCGGUGGCAAAAAUGAAUACUGUUAGAACUCUUAUUUCCAUUGCAGCCAAUCAUAAGUGGAAACUGUUUCAAAUGGACGUUAAGAAUGCAUUUCUCCAUGGGCACUUGCUUGAAGAAGUCUAUAUGGAGAUUCCUCCAGGUUUUAGUAGUCAGGAAACUGAAGGAAAAGUUUGUAGGCUAAAGAAAUCCAUUUAUGGACUUAAGCAAUCACCAAGGGCAUGGUUUGGGAGAUUUAGAAAGGAAUUGUGUUUACUGGGGUACCAACAAAGUAAUGCUGAUCAUACACUCUUUUUUAGGUGUUACAAUGGCAAGAUUGUUAUCCUUAUUGUCUACGUUGAUGACAUCGUAAUAACAGGUAAUGAUGAUGAAGGAAUAUCUAAAUUGAAGAAAAUGUUAUCUAGAUCAUUUGAAGUGAAAGAUCUGGGGUUUCUCCACUACUUCCUGGGAAUCGAGGUUGUCUACGGUGCUCAAGGUAUUUAUCUCUCACAGAGGAAAUAUGUUCUUGAUUUGCUUGCUGAAACCGGGAUGCUUGACUGUAGACCAGCUAGUACACCAAUUGAACCAAAUCAUCAUAUUAAAGCUGACUCUGGGGAUCCCAUAGAUAAAGGCCAAUAUCAGAGAUUAGUAGGGCGAUUAAUUUACCUUUCUCAUACAAGGCCAGACAUUGCAUAUGCAGUGAGCAUUGUGAGUAGAUAUAUGCAUGAUCCCCGGUCCCAUCACUUGAAUGCUGUACACAGAAUUCUGCGGUACCUUAAAAGCUGUCCUGGGAAAGGAAUUCUAUUCUCAAAUCAUGGACAUCUCGAACAAACAUACAUGACAACUUCACUCUAA